UUAAGUUCAGCGGGUAUCCCUACCUGAUCCGAGGUCAAAAUGGUUAGAAUAGCUUAUGGGAGCCACUCCGCCGGGCCACGAGUUCGCGUUUCUGCUGCGCUCGUAGCCGACGUGAGGGCCGCCAAUAGAUUUGAGGUGAGUCCACACGCGGAGGCGGGACAGACACCCAACACCAAGCAGUGCUUGAAGGUUUAGAUGAC
rnacentral:misc_RNA from 1 species